GACGAACCGUGCGAACGUUGUUCGGAAUCACUGGGCUUAAAGAGCUCGUAGGCGGUCUGUCGCGUCGGCUGUGAAACCCCGAGGCUCAACCUCGGGCCUGCAGUCGAUACGGGCAGACUAGAGUGCGGUAGGGGAGACUGGAAUUCCUGGUGUAGCGGUGAAAUGCGCAGAUAUCAGGAGGAACACCGGUGGCGAAGGCGGGUCUCUGGGCCGUAACUGACGCUGAGGAGCGAAAGCGUGGGGAGCGAACAGG
rnacentral:rRNA from 1 species